rnacentral:lncRNA from 1 species
AUUGCCUUCAAUCCAUGUGGACGUGCUUUCAGCUUUUUCUCCCCCUGCCCUUAUGAUUACACAAUGGAAAGGAAAACAACCACAGUGGGUCUUCCUUGUUGGAGGCUAUAACAUUGGGUGUUCCCUUCCAUCACCUGUGUUUUGGGUUUUACCCUAACCAACGUCAGGAUCCUUUCAUCUGAGGUGACAGAAAUCUACAAAUAUAGUAACAAUGCAAUCUGUUGCAGGAGAAAGCAAAGAAGAAAUUUUGGAACACCCUGCUCAGAGUCAGGCAUUUACCGGGAAACUCCAACCCUGCAGAGACCCCACCAGGCUGCCCAGUCUCCAGGAAGGUGCCGCUUGUUACAGAACCUGUUUCUAGUGUCUACCUCAAUCAGCAGACAUGUCUGGCUCAAUAAAUUGACACACUCUGCCCUCGCCCCAGCCACAUCUUAUAAGAAACCCAGAAAACUGCCAGAGUUUUUGUUAACCUUUCAAAACACUAGAAAUGAGUCUCAAUAAAAUCUAAACAUGAGUUCUUAGAGUGGUAGGGGAAAGCACAAAACUCCAACUCCUCAUCAACCCAGUAUAAAAAAAAAAAGGGAAAAAGCUUACACUGGAACCCAGACAGCUGGAAAAUACAACUAUGUAAUGACUUCAAACCCUUAGUAAACGCUGAGGAGGC